GCUGGGAUUAAGGCAUGAGCCACAGCGCCCGGCCUAGAUAAAAUUUCUUGUAUUUCUUGGUUUUUUGUUUGUUUGUUUUUGUCCUACUGGGAACCCUGAGAUUCCACUGCAAUUCUCUUCUUGAAGUCCCAGUUUUGAUCCCAAGCUCCAAUAUGGAAUUGAAAAUACGAGGAACACCUCAACAAUAUUCUUCCUUUUUCUCUAGGGGCCCAGGAGAGACUAAAAGCUAUGAAGGAAUUUGAUGUGGGGAACCCCAACAGAGCCAAGAAGGUACCCAGAGACUUUAGAAACUAUAGGGACUUACUUCUCAGGACCCCUUUGAAACCUAGACCUAAGAGGAUGAUUUGAUGCUGAGACAGCAUGACAUGCAGAGUGACUCAAUCCAACAGAAUGCUAAGUCUCAGUGAGCUGUCACCCCAUUCUGCACCAGAUGAAUAACUCUGCAACACUCAGAUGAUUGUGACCUCCUCCUGCCGUGCCUGCCCACAUGUCACCAGUAGAAGCAAGAAUGAACAUUUGUGAAAAAAUUAGUCUGCAUUGUCAAUUGUCAUCCUGGAGAGAAAAUGACUUGAUCUUCAGUGAUAACAGGAAUAUUACCAUCUUUCAGCCCCAUCUCAUUUUUCUUCACUUACUCAGAGUCUUACUCAGCGACCUAAUACUGAGUCUACUGAUGUCUUCACCUGCAAGAGCAACCUCCUUCCCAAAUCAGUUCCCACUCCUAACAGGAGCAGAGGCAAUAUCAGUAGCCCUUUUUUAUUUUUUUUCCUGAGACAGAGUCUUGCUCUGUCGCCCAGGCUGGAGUGCAGUGGCACAAUCUCGGUUUACUGCAACCUCUGCCUCCUGGGUUUGAGCGAUUCCCCUGCCUCAGCCUCCUGAGUAACUGGGAUUACAGGCACCUGCCACCAUGCCCGGCUGAUUUUUUGUAGUUUUAGUAGAGAUGGGGUUUCACCGUGUUGGUCAGGCUGGUCAAUUCCUGACCUCGUGAUCCACCCACCUCCCAAAGUGCUGGGAUUACAGGCAUGAGCCACUGUGCCCAGCCGCCUUUUUUGUUCUCUUCCUUGAUCUUAGGAGUUUAGGAAAUGAUCACACUCCCAGAUCCAAGAUCUGGUGUUCUACCCUCAAAGCCAAUGGACUCACAAGAUCCCACCAAGCAGAUCUAAAUGAUCUAGGACUAAUAAUGCAGGCUCUGAAGUUAGAGAGACUUAGAGUCAAAUCUGAACUCUGCCACUUAACCUUGCACAAGGCCAGUGUCUCAAUUAGGUUAGGAUAGUCAACAAUGCUAAAUAAGAAAAUUCAUUUCUCGGCUGGGCACGGUGGUUCACACCUGUAAUCCCAGCACUUUGCGAGGCCGAGGCAGGCGGAUCACGAGGUCAGGAGUUCAAGACCAGCCUGGUCAACAUGGUAAAACCCUGUCUCUGCUAAAAUACAAAAAUUAGCUGGGCGUGAUGGCACACGCCUGUAAUCCCAGCUACUCGGGAGGCUGAGGCAGGAGAAUUGCUUGAACUCAGGAGGCAGAGGCUGCAGUGAGACCAGAUGGCACCACUGCACUCCAGCCUAGGCGACAGAGCAAGACUCCAUCUCAAAAAAAGAAAAUUAAUUUCUCAUCACAAUAUACGUCCAACAUAGGUUAGUGGAAGGCAGUGCUCCAUAUUAUUACUCAAGAACCCAGGCUGAGAAAGGUUCCAUCUUAUAAUGUCACCAUCACAACACAUGGUGUUCAGGGAUACUAAGACAGGGGAAAGAUGAGGGAUGGGCCAAGUUUGAGGUUUUAACCAUCUCAUCCCAGAAAUGAUACAAUGGCAUUCCAGUUUUGGUCCAUUGGCUAGAACUAGUCAUGUAGCCCUGCCAACCUGCAAGGGCCUAAGAAUCAUCACCUUCCUUAUUACCAGAAAGUGGAGGAGAACUGGAUAUGAGUAAAUAAUUUUACUGCAGCCCAGCACACAGAGUGUGAUACUACUGUGUAGUUACUUUCUUCCUUCAAGUUUCCUGUAGGUCCAAUAGACCAAGGAUUCAUUAAGCUAAGGAAGGGCCCUGUUGUUUGUAUAACCACCCAUCAGAAGACUCUAUCCCCCAUGUCACCCUCAACCUCAAUGCCACUCCACAAUGAACAGGCUCAGUUCACCAGCAUGGGCUUAUGACCUAGGCUUUUCUUCCUAGCCAGUCUUGCCCUAUUGUCCUGCUUGAUUUUUUGGCCUGCCCCUCUAAGCUUGAGCCUUAUCCUAAUAAGAAACUUUGUAGGACUGGAAGCUUCAUAUCUUGUUCAGCUCUUGCCAGUUCUCCUUAUGAGCAGUCAAUCAAUGUUUUAGCAGUGGAGCCAUCUUGGAUCCUCAAACUUCUUGGAGGCCAAAGGGCUAAACAAUUCCCAGUCACAGCGAAUUUGCUGCCAAAGAUACACUCACUCAGCCUUUCCAAGGAAGUGACUGGAUAUGUAAAAAAGGGUUAUGUACAAAGAUGUUUAUUGAAACAUUAUUUGUAAUAGCAAAAUAUUGGGAAUAACCUAAAUGUCCACCAAAGGAGAAUGCUUAUAAAUAUGAAUCAUCCACAUGAUGGAUGUAUAAGUUAUGCCUGCCAAGUUCAUCAGGGUAAACAGAAGAGACAAAAUCAGAUUAUUUAUUAGGAUGGAGUUGAUUUCCUAACACAGUGGGACCUGCUUUCAUUUUGUUUGCCCUGCAGCUCUACUAUCCCAGAUUUUAUUGAUUCAUUUCAGGGCCAUUCUAUAGGCAGCAUCUCCACUGGGCAGCCAGGGCCCAGCUCAUGUGUAGUUGGGUAGCCUUUGCUACUGCAUUGGUCCCCAAUCCAAUCAUCUGUGAUUAGGGGAGCGGCUAGCUCUCCUCGAAAGUAGAGAAGGUUGUCCUGGCCUCUAAUGAAUUAUCCUUUAGUCAGUCUAAUUCAGUGAAAUAUUAUGUACCCUUUAAAAAUUGUAUUUACCAGAAGUUUUUAAUGACCUGGAAAAGUAUGCAGGAAAUAUCGUUAGGUUUUUAAAAUUUAUAAAAUUGAAUCUAUACUCUGACAUAUGUUAUAACAUAAAUUAACCUUAAAAGACAGACGCGGUGGCUAACGCCUGUAAUCCCAGCACUUUAGGAGGCCAAGGCGGGUGGAUCACCUGAGGUCAGGAGUUCAAGACCAGAGUGGCCAACAUGGCAAAACCCCAUCUCUACUAACAAUACAAAAUUAGUGGGGCAUGGUGGUGGGAACCUAUAAUCCCAGCUAUUCCGUAAGCUGAGGCAUGAGAAUUGCUUGAACCCGGGGGGCAGAGGUUGCAGUGAGCUAAGAUCGUGCCACUUCACACUAGCCUGGGCAAAAGAGCGAAACUCUAUCUCAAAAUAAAUAAAUAAAUAAAAAUAAAUGAACCAAGUGAAAUAAGCCAAUCAAAAAAAGGGCAAUAUUGUAUGAUUCCACUUUCUUUUUUUUUUUUUUUUUUUUUUUUUGAGAUGGAGUCUCACUCUGUAGCCCAAGCUGGAGUGCAGUGGCGUGAUCUCGGCCUUCACUACAACCUUUAUCUCUUGGGGCUCAAGCAAUUCUCCUGCCUCGGCCUCCCAAGAAGUUGGGACUAGAGGCUUGCACAACCACACCCAGUUAAUUUUAUGUAUUUUUAGUAGAGACGGGGUUUCACCAUGUUGCUCUGGGUGGUCUGGAACUCCUGAGCUCAGGCAAUCCACCCUCCUCAGCCUCCCAGAGUGGUGGGAUUAUAGGCGUGAGCCACCAUGCCCAGCCAUGAUUCCACUUACAUGAGGUCCCAGGAGUAGUAAAAUCAUAAUGACAGAAAAUAGAAGGGUGGUUGCCAGAGGCUGGAGGGAGAGGGAAAUAGGGUUUAAUGUUUAAUGGGUAUAGAGUUUCAGUUUUGCAAGAUGAAUAAAGUUCUGGAGACGAAUGGAUGGUGGUGAUGGUUGCACAACAAUGUGAAUGUACUUAAUACCACUGAACUGUACAUUUAAAAUGGCUAAAAUGGUAAAUUUUAUGUUAUGUGUAUUUUACCACAAUUUAAAGAAUUGAAUCUAUAGUUUCAUCACAAAUGUGUGAGGUUUUCUUUUUAAACAAAUGUUUGAGUAUAUGUGUGUGCAUGUGUGUGUGUAUAAUUAUGCCUAGUGUUCUGCCUUUGGUAAUGAGAGGAAGAUGCUACAGUUUCUUCCCUCAUGCUCUUCCUUUAGCUAGUGCAAGGGUUGGCAAACUGUGGCCCUUCAGCCAUGUCCAGCUUCUCAUUUGUUUUCAUAAAUAAAGUUUUAUUGAAACACAG
rnacentral:lncRNA from 1 species